rnacentral:rRNA from 1 species
CCUACGGGUGGCAGCAAUUAGGAAUCUUGCGCAAUGGGCGAAAGCCUGACGCAGCGACGUCGCGUGACUGAUGAAGUCUUUCGGGAUGUAAAAGUCUUUUUUGGGGGAAGAAGGAAGUGACGGUACCCCAAGAAUAAGCCCCGGCUAACUACGUGCCAGCAGCCGCGGUAAUACGUAGGGGGCGAGCGUUGUCCGAAUUCACUGGGCGUAAAGCGCGUGUAGGCGGGUUAUUAAGUUAGGGGUGAAAUCCCGAGGCUCAACCUCGGAACUGCCGUUUAAACUGGUAGCCUUGAGGUAUGGAGAGGGAAGUGGAAUUCCUGGUGUAGCGGUGAUAUGCGUAGAUAUCAGGAGGAACACCCGUGGCGAAGGCGGCUUCCUGGCCAUAUCCUGACGCUGAGGUGCGAAAGCUAGGGGAGCGAACG